GAACCGAGCGAACGUUGUUCGGAAUCACUGGGCUUAAAGGGCGCGUAGGCGGGUAUUCAAGUCUGUGGUGAAAUCCGGCAGCUCAACUGUCGAAUUGCCGUGGAUACUGGGUAUCUCGAGGGAGGUAGGGGUGCGCGGAACUGAUGGUGGAGCGGUGAAAUGCGUUGAUAUCAUCAGGAACUCCGGUGGCGAAGGCGGCGCACUGGACCUCUUCUGACGCUGAGGCGCGAAAGCCAGGGGAGCAAACGGGAUUAGAUACCCCGGUAGUCCUGGCCCUAAACGUUGGGUACUAGAUAGUAGGGUUCACAUGGCUUUACUGUCGAAGCAAAAGUGCUAAGUACCCCGCCUGGGGAGUAUGGUCGCAAGGCUGAA
rnacentral:rRNA from 1 species